CCAAGGCUGGCCCAAGGGCCAAGGAAGAACAAGGCAUGGCCCGUGCUCACUGCCCUCCCUCGCACUGGCAGUCCUGGGGAGGGUCCCACCCCGGGAGGGGUCCCUCGGCAGUGCCUGAGGCCGGAGGCACCGCCAGGCUCUCCAGUCCCCCAGGAGAGGUGGGGCCGCUGUCCCCAGGCCUAGGAGCAUCUGGCUAAGUGGCUACGGGCAGCGUCCGAGGCUCCCGACGUGUCACUCAGUAGAGCCUAUCUGCCCCAGGCGGGUUCCUCCUUGUGCAUCUUCCUGCCGAGGGGACUCCGGCUGGCACCGUGGGACUUACCCCAGCCUCCUCCCUGGCCUCUCCACCCAGGGGCCUCCUCCUUCCUCCCCUAAGGACCGAAGCCAGCAAGACACACAGGCAGCAGGGGAGUUGUCCCCUCCACGAACGACCUCACAGGGCACCAGGGGCAAGGGUGCAGAGGGGUCCUGGCUGACCCCUUGUUGGGGACACAGGUGUCCCCUCCUAGUGGAGGACCGUCCUUGGGGACCAGCCAGCAGUUCCGGGCAUACCUCCGUGCCUGUUGCCUGAUGCUGUGACCCAAGACACAUUUCUUUUUAAAUCACAUUCGUUUAACAAACCACGUCCAAAGGAACAGGAAGCAGGCAUGCCGUGCCCAGGAGCUGAGGCGGCCGCCCUGCCAGACCAGUCUAGCCGGUCUGCAUCCUGGUGAGGACGAAGGAAGCAAACUCAGCACGUCAGGGUGACGGAGGCUCCUUCCAAAGGGCCCUUGUCGCCCGGGAGGCCAGCACCACCCGCCGGCCCGGAGCCUCCUGCACCGCACGUGGCGCCGGCGUGAAGACCUCCCGCCUGGGAGCAGCCAACGCCCUUCCCGCCUCCGGGGACCUCAGGGGCUGGGGGCAGUGCCAGGGCCCCACGAGUGCUCCGGACACAGCUGGCCUGGGCAGCAGCCGGGACGGCUGGGCUCACAGGGCCCUUGACCUGUGAUCCCGAUCACACGUCUGACGGCGCCGAAACCGGCUUCACUGUGAGCCACGAACAGUCAGCUCCUGUCGCCGCAAAGCUGAGGUCCUUGGUCCAGCAGGCACUACCAGCUGCCUGCCCACCUCACAACCUCCAGGGGCGUCCACACCUUCCGGCAGCAGCCCUGGACCCUCAGGCCAGGAAGGGAAGCCCUGGAGCUCCUGCAGGUCGAUCUCGGCCAGCGCGGGGCCAGUCACCACGAACAUGCGCAGCAUGCUGUAGAUGCGCUCCAGCGACAGGCUCUCCAGGUUGGUCAGCAUGGCCUGGAUGUACGUCCAGAAAAGCUGCGGGGACAGAGGCCAGGUCGGCCGUCAGGCCGCCCCGCACCGUGGCCACCACACCAGAGGCUGAGCCGGCCCGGCCCCUCCCCCAGCCGCACCAGCAGCUCCUCCUCCUUCUGGUCCGCCUGGGAGGCCAUGCCCGAGUCACUCUCGUCGUCGCUGUCAAUGAGCACCAUGCUGUCUCGGUCCUGGGGCCGCUCCUCCUCCACCACAGAGAAGGUGCCGGCAGGCUCCUCCCGCAGCACGCCCUGCUGCAGCCACACGGACAUGCGCCGCCGCAGCAGCGCCACGGGCAUCUUCACCACCUUGCUCAGCUCCUCCAGGGUCCAGCUGGCUGCGCAGAGGGGCCGGGAACACUAGGCACUGGGCCCCGUCAGCCCAGCUCACCGUCCCAGAGGGCAGCGGGAUCCAGGUGGCCUUAGGAGGCUGAGUCCCGCCCCCGUCCCCACUCCCCCUGCCACACAGAGCAGUGCCUGGCACCAGCCCCUGGGAGGCAAGGCUGGGGCAGGCCGGCCGGGGGCCAAUGGGCUCACCUCGGUCCUGGAAGUAGAGCAAGACCACCGCCUGCACGGGAGUCACCGCCACAGACAAGGACCUCAGAAUGUGACCUGGGUUGGAGACAAGGCCAUGGCAGAUGGGACUAGCCAAGACGAGGUCGUCACCAGGACGACGAGGUCACGGGGAGCACAGUGAGCCCUGACGCAGCCUGGUCAGUACCCUUGUAAGACGGAAGACGGUGUGAAGACAGAGGCAGAGACGGCAGCCAUGCGGCCACAGCCGAGAAACACCAAGGGUGGCCGGCAGCCCCGGAUGCCGACGAGGCUGGACCCUCUCCUGCAGCCUUCAGAGGAGCAUAGCCCUGCUGAGCCCUGGCCCCUGCUCCGGCCUCCAGAACAGAGAGAAGUCUCUGUUGUCGUAAGCACUUUGUUACAGAGGCCAUGAGAAACGGACACGUGUUAGUCCCGGGAAGGGGUGCUGCUGUAGCAGACUCCCAGAAGUGUGAGCCCUUGCGGGUGGGCGACGGGCAGGGGCUGGCUGUGGGCUGUGUGCCUGUAACAGCCUGAACUGCCCCGGGGAGACUGUUGGCAGGGUCACAGACAGGAAAGCCACCCUUGAGAGGUGUCAAAAGGAGGAAGAGGUCACAGCAAACUGGAGAAAGUGUGGGCGUGCCACGCGGUGGUAGCGCCCCGUCUGAGCACGGCUCUGCUGGGCAGAACGCACACCCAAGAAAGACGAACCGAGACCCUGAGCUGAGGGGAGUCCACAGGCGUGGGAGGGGCGGCCGCACGGCGGCACAGGAGCGAGCGAGCCGGCAGGGACGCAGCAGGCACAGGGCCGAGCUCUGGGGCGGGAGCUGACCGGCAGCCUCAGAAGAGCCAGGACAGAGACUGGGCUGUCCAGGAAGGGUGCACUUGAGGGCCCACGGCCAAAGGCCCGGAUGCCUGGGAGCUGCAUGGAAGACUCGGUUCCUGAGAAUUUCCCGGCAGCCCACACUAGGAGGAGAGACGGCCCCCUGCGGAGGGCUCCCUGGGCAGAGCUCAGUGCAGGGGCCUGGCCUGGCAGACGGCAGACAGCCUUGAGACCAGAGCGCUUCCUCCGCUGGCUUCCAGACCUGCUUUGAGCCUGUGACCCCCUCCUUCCCUGACGAACCGUCCUCUUGGGACAGAGGGUCUGCCCCACACCUCGCACGCGCGCUUUGCCCUCCCAGGCUCGCGGCUGGGAGGGACUGCCCUCGGCCGUGUUCUGGCCCGAUUCAGAUGCUUCUCAGAUACCAAAUCUUGAGGUGUGGAGCUGAUGGAAACACAGUCGGUGCCGGAAUGGCUGAAGACUUCCGGGGACGCUGGAUGAAUGUGUUCUGUGUGUGGGAAACACACAGACUUUGGGGGGCCAGAGGGUGAACUGUUAUAAGCUGAAGUGUGUCCCUCAAAAAGAUGUUAAAGUCUUAACCCCUAACGAUUCAGAACGUAACCAUGUUUGGAAAUCAGA